rnacentral:rRNA from 1 species
UACGGAGGGAGCUAGCGUUAUUCGGAAUUACUGGGCGUAAAGCGCACGUAGGCGGCUUUGUAAGUCAGAGGUGAAAGCCUGGAGCUCAACUCCAGAACUGCCUUUGAGACUGCAUCGCUUGAAUCCAGGAGAGGUGAGUGGAAUUCCGAGUGUAGAGGUGAAAUUCGUAGAUAUUCGGAAGAACACCAGUGGCGAAGGCGGCUCGCUGGACUGGUAUUGACGCUGAGGUGCGAAAGCGUGGGGAGCAAACAGG